AGACUGGGAUAACUUCGGGAAACCGGAGCUAAUACCGGAUAAUAUAUUGAACCGCAUGGUUCAAUAGUGAAAGACGGUUUUGCUGUCACUUAUAGAUGGAUCCGCGCCGCAUUAGCUAGUUGGUAAGGUAACGGCUUACCAAGGCAACGAUGCGUAGCCGACCUGAGAGGGUGAUCGGCCACACUGGAACUGAGACACGGUCCAGACUCCUACGGGAGGCAGCAGUAGGGAAUCUUCCGCAAUGGGCGAAAGCCUGACGGAGCAACGCCGCGUGAGUGAUGAAGGUCUUCGGAUCGUAAAACUCUGUUAUUAGGGAAGAACAAAUGUGUAAGUAACUAUGCACGUCUUGACGGUACCUAAUCAGAAAGCCACGGCUAACUACGUGCCAGCACCCGCGGUAAUACGUAGGUGGCAAGCGUUAUCCGGAAUUAUUGGGCGUAAAGCGCGCGUAGGCGGUUUUUUAAGUCUGAUGUGAAAGCCCACGGCUCAACCGUGGAGGGUCAUUGGAAACUGGAAAACUUGAGUGCAGAAGAGGGAGAGUGGGAAUUCCAUGUGUAGCGGUGAAAUGCGCAGAGAUAUGGAGGAACACCAGUGGCGAAGGCGACUUUCUGGUCUGUAACUGACGCUGAUGUGCGAAGCGUGGGGAUCAAACAGGAUUAGAUACCCCUGGUAGUCCACGCCGUAACCGAUGAGUGCUAAGUGUUAGGGGGUUUCCGCCCCUUAGUGCUGCAGCUAACGCAUUAAGCACUCCGCCUGGGGAGUACGACCGCAAGGUUGAAACUCAAAGGAAUUGACGGGGACCCGCACAAGCGGUGGAGCAUGUGGUUUAAUUCGAAGCAACGCGAAGAACCUUACCAAAUCUUGACAUCCUCUGACCCCUCUAGAGAUAGAGUUUUCCCCUUCGGGGGACAGAGUGACAGGUGGUGCAUGGUUGUCGUCAGCUCGUGUCGUGAGAUGUUGGGUUAAGUCCCGCAACGAGCGCAACCCUUAAGCUUAGUUGCCAUCAUUAAGUUGGGCACUCUAAGUUGACUGCCGGUGACAAACCGGAGGAAGGUGGGGAUGACGUCAAAUCAUCAUGCCCCUUAUGAUUUGGGCUACACACGUGCUACAAUGGACAAUACAAAGGGCAGCGAAACCGCGAGGUCAAGCAAAUCCCAUAAAGUUGUUCUCAGUUCGGAUUGUAGUCUGCAACUCGACUAUAUGAAGCUGGAAUCGCUAGUAAUCGUAGAUCAGCA
rnacentral:rRNA from 1 species